UGGGGAAUAUUGCACAAUGGACGAAAGUCUGAUGCAGCGACGCCGCGUGGAGGAUGAAGGUUUUCGGAUUGUAAACUCCUGUUGAGUGGGAAGAAAGGCGACUACCUAAUACGUAGUUGAGAUGACGGUACCACUAUAGAAAGCACCGGCAAACUUCGUGCCAGCAGCCGCGGUAAUACGAAGGGUGCAAGCGUUAUUCGGAGUUACUGGGCGUAAAGAGCGCGUAGGCGGUCUUUUAAGUCAUUUGUUAAAUCUCCCGGCUUAACCGGGAACAUGCAAGUGAAACUGGAAGACUAGAGUAUAAGAGAGAGAAGUGGAAUUCUCGGAGUAGCGGUAAAAUGCGUAGAUCUCGAGAGGAACACCGGAGGCGAAGGCGGCUUCUUGGCUUAUAACUGACGCUCAAGUGCGAAAGCGUGGGGAGCAAACAGG
rnacentral:rRNA from 1 species